rnacentral:rRNA from 1 species
AGAGUUUGAUCCUGGCUCAGGACGAACGCUGGCGGCGUGCUUAACACAUGCAAGUCGAACGGAUGAUGCUUUUGUGUUGUUAGUGGCGAACGGGUGAGUAACACGUGGGUAACCUGUCCUUCUCUUUGGGAUAAGCACUUGAAAGGGUGUCUAAUACUGAUUAUUCUGCGCGUCGCAUGGUUGUGUGGGAAAGAUUUGUUGGAGGGGGUUGGGCUCGCGGCUUAUCAGCUUGUUGGUGGGGUGAUGGCUUACCAAGGCUUUGACGGGUAGCCGGCCUGAGAGGGUGGUCGGUCACAUUGGGACUGAGAUACGGCCCAGACUCCUACGGGAGGCAGCAGUGGGGAAUAAUGCACAAUGGACGGAAGUCUGAUGCAGCGACGCCGCGUGAGGGAUGAAGGCCUUCGGGUUGUAAACCUUUUUCGCUUUUGACCAAGGCAUCAUUUUGUGGUGUUGAGGGUAUGAGGUAAAGAAGCUCCGGCUAACUACGUGCCAGCAGCCGCGGUAAUACGUAGGGAGCGAGCGUUGUCCGGUUUUAUUGGGCGUAAAGGGCUUGUAGGUGGCUUGUCGCGUCUGCCGUGAAAUUCCGCAGCUUAACUGUGGUAGUGCGGUGGGUACGGGCUGGCUUGAGUGUGGUAGGGGAGACUGGAAUUCCUGGUGUANCGGUGGAAUGCGCANAUAUCANGAGGAACACCGGUGGCGAAGGCGGUCUCUGGGCCAUUACUGACNCUGAGGAGCGAAAGCGUGGGGAGCNAACAGGAUUANAUACCCUGGUAGUCCNCNCUGUAANCGUUGGGCANUAGGUGGGGGNCCUGUCAUGGGUUUUGCGCCGACGCUAACGCAUUAAGUGCCCCGCNUGGGGAGUACGGUCGCAAGGCUAAAACUCAAAGGAAUUGACGGGGGCCCGCACAAGCGGCGGAGCAUGCGGAUUAAUUCGAGGCAACGCGAAGAACCUUACCAAGGCUUGACAUAGCCAGAAGCUCUCAGAGAUGGGGGUCUUUGCUGGUGUACAGGUGGUGCAUGGUUGUCGUCAGCUCGUGUCGUGAGAUGUUGGGUUAAGUCCCGCAACGAGCGCAACCCUUGUCCUAUGUUGCCAGCACUUGGUGUGGGGACUCAUGGGAGACUGCCGGGGUUAACUCGGAGGAAGGUGGGGAUGACGUCAAAUCAUCAUGCCCCUUAUGUCUUGGGCUUCACGCAUGCUACAAUGGCUGGUACAGAGGGUUGCGAUACUGUGAGGUGGAGCGAAUCCCUUAAAGCUGGUCUCAGUUCGGAUCGGAGUCUGCAACUCGACUUCGUGAAGGUGGAGUCGCUAGUAAUCGCAGAUCAGCUCGCUGCGGUGAAUACGUUCUCGGGCCUUGUACACACCGCCCGUCACGUCAUGAAAGUUGGUAACACCCGAAGCGCAUGGCUUAACCGUUGGGGGGGAGUGUGCGAAGGUGGGAUUGGCGAUUGGGACGAAGUCGUAACAAGGUAAC